GACGAACGCUGGCGGCGUGCUUAACACAUGCAAGUCGAACGGUGAACCAGGGCUUGCCCUGGGGAUCAGUGGCGAACGGGUGAGUAACACGUGGGCAACCUGCCCCUGACUCCGGGAUAACCCCUCGAAAGAGGUGCUAAUACCGGAUACGACCACUUCGGGCAUCCGAUGGUGGUGGAAAGAAUUUUGGUCAGGGAUGGGCCCGCGGCCUAUCAGCUUGUUGGUGGGGUAACGGCCCACCAAGGCGACGACGGGUAGCCGGCCUGAGAGGGCGACCGGCCACACUGGGACUGAGACACGGCCCAGACUCCUACGGGAGGCAGCAGUGGGGAAUAUUGCGCAAUGGGCGAAAGCCUGACGCAGCGACGCCGCGUGAGGGACGACGGCCUUCGGGUUGUAAACCUCUUUCAGCAGGGACGAAGCGCAAGUGACGGUACCUGCAGAAGAAGCACCGGCUAACUACGUGCCAGCCGCCGCUGUAACAC
rnacentral:rRNA from 1 species